GGUUGCGUAGCGCAGUGGUCAGUGUAUAUACCUACCGUUCUGCUUCACCUCAGGAUAGGAUCCUAGGGUAGGGCAAGGCUUGUGUGAGGUCGUGGGUUCGAAUCCUAUUGCGACCU